rnacentral:misc_RNA from 1 species
CCUGCGUAGCCCGGUCUUCCUCCGGUCAGGAGUACUCAAGGGGGUUGUUUAUAGAAUUGCUGAAGAGCGGAAAUCGGGUGGUCGCUCGUUGUUUAACAUCNNNNNNNNUCACCCGAAAAGGCUGAGCCGAACCACAGGCGAGAAAUGAGCGGAAAGCAGCCGUCGGUUGCGACAUUAAAAGAUGUAAUCGGCGCUUCGCCGCUUUGGUUGCCGGAUAUGCAAGAUACCGACUAACGAAGCUGGUUCAACGCCGAAAAACAGGAUGGCCAAUCCCUUACAGCGC